AGAGGCUUUUCUGCAUUUAACUCACUGUUGGGCUUCUUAACUGUGCUUACUAUAUUCAAUACUUGUUUCUUAUUUCAACUCUACUAUGUUGCUCAUUUAUUUUUCUUAUUUCAUGGUUUCUUAAUUUGGUUUUGAAUCUUCUGAUGACUAAUAUGAUUGUCACGCUUAUGAUAAUUUUUUAUUUCUGUUCUUUUUAAUAACUUAUUUUGCGAAUUUAUCAGGUAGAGUAUAAUGUACCGAAGCAAGAGAGCAAGGGACAUACUUGCUGCCAUAGCCAAGUCACAUGAUCUAGUAUCAUCACAGUCACCAAUUAUCUCUAAUUCACAUACUUCUUCUGCUGCUGAAGCUUCACAACCCACCAAAAAACAAGCUAGAAAGUCACCAUAAACUGAGGUUCUUAGGGAUGACAUAUGGGGACCUUUUUCUCCACCCAUUUCCACUACAAAAUGUGACCACCCACCACCUAAUAAUUUAGGAUCCAUUUGGAAAAACCCUCCUGGUUCAACAUUAAAUUCAGUUAAGGAAGCAGUUACGCAAGGUCAGCAAAAAAUAUACCCACCAGAAGUUUCAUCUUUAGUCCCACCUAAUAUUCCACAUUCAAUUGCACCAGACUCAUUGAACUCCCCUUCUACUUCUCACAAACCUCCUGAGCGCCCAAAACCUGCUACACGAGGAAUCCGGAACCGUGAAACAGGUGCUGUGAAAACUUCAGCUACAGCUCCACAGGAUAAUCAUGAAAGUAAAAAAAGUGGAAACGAAUAAGAAGAGAUCCCGAAACAAUCUAAGUCCUUACGACCAAAAGCACUUCCGGAUUGGCCUGUAGACAUUGAUUUUGACGACAAGGAGGAGGUUCUAACCAUAGAUGCCAAGGGUAAUACUACAUUAGUAAGUGGUAUUAUUCUGCCAAUUGACGUAUGGAGUAAUAACGGCGUCCAGUACUAUGUCGAAUUCAAUGAUUUAUGCCAGCCAAUUAGGAAGGGUGAACAUAUUUUGGUUAAAUUCAUUAGUAUGAUUGCGAAGAUGGAGUCACAUUGUCCAGUUGGGCAAAAAGAUUGGAAAGCAAUCGACAAGAAUUUUAAAGGGAAAAUAAUUAAAGACAUAAGAGACCGUUUUGUGAUUCCUCCAGGUGUGGAAUAUGACAACCAAGCUCUCAAGUGUGCCAAUAAAUGUUGGAGGCAGUUCAAAUAUUCUCUGAAACUGAUUCAUUACAAGCCACUAGAGAAGAAAUUGGAUGAUAUGUGUAAUAAUGUGCCACAUGGAAUUACUAGUAGUAACUGGGUUAAGUUGGUAAAAUAUUGGGAUUCGGAUUACGGGAAAACUAUGUCAGCAUGCGGUAAAAAGGCACGAGCUUUUCAAAAUCAGAUUCAUACAUCUGGCGCUAAAAGUUUUGCAAACCAACAAGCUGAUUAUGAAAAUGAACAUGGAAAAAAAAUGAGCUUCUUCUUAAAGCGCUUGUUGGACAAUUUUCUCAGAUUGUAGGUGCAGUUCGUGAAGGAAAUGCAUCUCCGGGUGUUCUAAACAAAGCAUCUGAAUUCUUAGGAAAGGCAAAACAUCAGAUUAGAAAAGGCAACACUACUACAAAUUCCUUGUGUUUUCGACGCUUUAUGUUCGACGCUGUGCCCAAGCCGUCAACACCAAAAUUUUUAUCCCGUGUUUGGUCGACGCUUUUAUUUGUCGAAAUAAUAUUUCGACAGGUAAAAGCGUCGAGAGUUCCGCUUGCCAAGCACGUGACCUGACGGGCAACCCGUAUAAACUGAAGUUUUGAAAAAUCUCAACACCACUUGUCAGCCAACCCUAAUUAGUUUCGUCCUCCAUAAUCUCAUCUCCAAAAACCGCAAUAGAUUCAUCGAAUUCGGCUUCGAAUUGUUGAAAUUUCCCUACUUUUCCAUCGAUUUUAUUAAUUAUAUUGGGAUAUUUGUUUCUUUUCCAUCUCAUCAAAAUUUCGUUUCUUUUUUCAUUGAAAUUUAAUUGGGAUAUUGAUUUUAUUUUUUUUGUGUCAAAAUUUUGGAGCUGUAGAAGAUUCCUAAUUGAAGAUCACGAAUUGAAUCAGGCUUGCAAUUCGCCGUGCUCGAUGUUUUAAAUCUGUGACGACUAAUCCCAAUUUGCUCAACGUCUACAGAUUUCAGUUUAGCUUAAUUUCCCUUGUGUUCGUCACAAGUGGGCUGCUCCUUCUGUGGGUCUUUUCAAGCUGAAUUCUGAUGCCUCCUGCUGUGGUGAUGGAGUUACGGGGCUUGGAGGAGCUGUGCGUGACGGUAAUGGCGACGUGCUGGUUGCUACUUGCUUGAAGAUCCAAGGCGAGAUGGGGGUUGAUGUUGCUGAAGCCAUGGCUACUAGACACUUGGUUGUUAUUGCUAUUGACUCGGGCUUUAACAAGCUCAUUCUUGAGUCUGAUUGUAGGUUGAUCUUGGUAAGGUAGACAGUACGACUUUCAGGCACCUCAAAAGAGGGUAUGCCUGUUAUUGUUGUCGGUGUGGGGCAUAGUACAUAUGGCAAAGCAUCCGUCCACUACUACGUGCAGUCACACAUCCAAAUGAAUGUCUUUUCUUUUGAGUGGUCAAAAGAUUAUGUAGACAUAAAUGUAUGAGUACUGAGAAACGGCAAAAAAGGGUUGACAACUAAUGCUGCAAUAUUUCAAGGAUGAAAGAAAGAUAUAUUUAAGCUAUUUAAAGUUGGAAUUGUACUUUACUUUUUUUUUUAGGGGAGUUGGAAUUGUACUAGUUGUAAUAGAAAACCCAUUACUAUGAGAUAUUGUACAUAUGCUAUAAUUUAUUUAUAUGUAAUAAAAAAUUUUGGCAUAAAUUUGUUGUACUUGUAUUUUUUUUUUUUUGUAAUAUUUGUAUAUUAGCAAUAAUUAUUAGUGAAUGAAAUA